CCUACGGGAGGCUGCAGUGGGGAAUAUUGGACAAUGGGGGGAACCCUGAUCCAGCCAUGCCGCGUGUGUGAAGAAGGCCCUCGGGUUGUAAAGCACUUUCAGUGAGGAAGAACGCCUGGUGGUUAAUACCCAUCAGGAAAGACAUCACUCACAGAAGAAGCACCGGCUAACUCCGUGCCAGCAGCCGCGGUAAUACGGAGGGUGCGAGCGUUAAUCGGAAUUACUGGGCGUAAAGCGCGCGUAGGUGGCUUGAUAAGCCGGUUGUGAAAGCCCCGGGCUCAACCUGGGAACGGCAUCCGGAACUGUCAAGCUAGAGUGCAGGAGAGGAAGGUAAAAUUCCCGGUGUAGCGGUGAAAUGCGUAGAGAUCGGGAGGAAUACCAGUGGCGAAGGCGGCCUUCUGGACUGACACUGACACUGAGGUGCGAAAGCGUGGGUAGCAAACAGGAUUAGAUACCCCUGUAGUC
rnacentral:rRNA from 1 species